rnacentral:rRNA from 1 species
UUUUUUAAUUGAAAACUUGUAUGAAUGGUUGAAUGAAGUAUAAACUGUUUCAAAAAAUAUAUUAAAAUUUUAUUUUUUAGUUAAAAAGCUAAAAUAUAAUUAAAAGACGAGAAGACCCUAUAAAGUUUUAUAUUUGAAAUAAAUUUUAUAAAUAAUAAUAUUUUUAUAAUUUUUAUUUUUAGUAUUUUAUUGGGGUGAUAAUAAAAUUUAAAUAACUUUUAUUUUUAAAAACAUAAAUUAAUGAUUUUAUGAUCUUGUAUUAUUAAGUAAAAAUUUAAAUUACUUUAGGGAUAACAGCGUAAUUUUUUUUUUAAGUUCAUAUUUAUAGAAAAGAUUGC